rnacentral:rRNA from 1 species
AGGCUUUGAUCCUGGCUCAGGACGAACGCUGGCGGCAUGCCUAAUACAUGCAAGUCGAACGCCGACGCACUCUGCUUGCAGAGUGCUGAGGAGUGGCGAACGGGUGAGUAACACGUGGAGAACCUGCCCAUAAGAGGGGGAUAACAUCCGGAAACGGGUGCUAAUACCGCAUAGGUGGCUGGAGCGCAUGCUCUAGUCAUGAAAGACGGCUUCGGCUGUCGCUUAUGGAUGGCUCCGCGGCGUAUUAGCUAGUUGGUGAGGUAAUGGCUCACCAAGGCAGUGAUACGUAGCCGACCUGAGAGGGUGAUCGGCCACACUGGGACUGAGACACGGCCCAGACUCCUACGGGAGGCAGCAGUAGGGAAUCUUCCACAAUGGGCGAAAGCCUGAUGGAGCAAUGCCGCGUGAGUGAAGAAGGUUUUCGGAUCGUAAAGCUCUGUUGUUAGAGAAGAACAAGAGGUGUAGUAACUGGCACCUCCUUGACGGUAUCUUACCAGAAAGUCACGGCGUAAUA